AUUGAACGCUGGCGGCAUGCCUUACACAUGCAAGUCGAACGGCAGCACGGGAGCAAUCCUGGUGGCGAGUGGCGAACGGGUGAGUAAAGUAUCGGAACGUGCCCAGUCGUGGGGGAUAACGUAGCGAAAGUUACGCUAAUACCGCAUACGAUCUAUGGAUGAAAGCGGGGGAUCGCAAGACCUCGCGCGAUUGGAGCGGCCGAUAUCAGAUUAGGUAGUUGGUGGGGUAAAGGCUCACCAAGCCGACGAUCUGUAGCUGGUCUGAGAGGACGACCAGCCACACUGGGACUGAGACACGGCCCAGACUCCUACGGGAGGCAGCAGUGGGGAAUUUUGGACAAUGGGCGCAAGCCUGAUCCAGCCAUGCCGCGUGCAGGAUGAAGGCCCUCGGGUUGUAAACUGCUUCUGUACGGAACGAAAAGGUUUGGCCUAAUAAGCUGAGCUCAUGACGGUACCGUAAGAAUAAGCACCGGCUAACUACGUGCCAGCAGCCGCCGUAA
rnacentral:rRNA from 1 species